rnacentral:rRNA from 1 species
GUCUGUUUGGAGUUAUAAAAAGUUUAACCUGCCCCCUGACUAGUAAUAAGAAGUUAAAUGGCCGCGGUAUUUUGACCGUGCAAAGGUAGCAUAAUCGUUAGUUUUUUAAUUGGAAUCUUGUAUGAAUGGUUGGACAAAAGAAAAUCUGUCUUUGUAUUAUUAAUUGAAUUUAACUUUUGAGUGAAAAGGCUUAAAUAAAUUGAAGUGACGAUAAGACCCUAUAAAACUUUAUAUAAACAUAUUAUUUGAUUGAAUUUAAAAUAAAAAUUUAAUAAUAAAAUUUAUUUUGUUGGGGCGAUAAAAGUAAAAUUUUUAUUAACUGCUUUAAGUUUUGAAUACAUUUAUGUUUGAUUAAAAUUUUUAGAUGAUCCUAAAUAAAGAUUAAAAGUUUAAGUUACUUUAGGGAUAACAGCGUUAUUUUUUUUGAGAGUACUUAUCGAAAAAAAAGUUUGCGACCUCGAUGUUGAAUUAAAAUUUCUUUAUAAUUGCAGUAGUUAUAAAAGUAGGUCUGUUCGACCUUUAAAAUUUUACAUGAUUUGAGUUCAAACCGGCGUGAGCCAGGUUGGUUUCUAUCUUUUAAAAAAAAAAAAUUAUUUUAGUACGAAAGGAUUAAAUAAUUAAAAUUAUUUUAAAAUUUAUGGCUA